UACAGAGGUCUCAAGCGUUGUUCGGAUUCAUUGGGCGUAAAGGGUGCGUAGGUGGUGAUGCAAGUCUGGUGUGAAAUCUCGGAGCUCAACUCCGAAAUUGCACCGGAUACUGCGUGACUCGAGGACUGUAGAGGAGAUCGGAAUUCACGGUGUAGCAGUGAAAUGCGUAGAUAUCGUGAGGAAGACCAGUUGCGAAGGGCGGAUCUCUGGGCAGUUCCUGACACUGAGCACGAAGGCCAGGGGAGCAAACGGG
rnacentral:rRNA from 1 species